rnacentral:rRNA from 1 species
CCAGACUCCUACGGGAGGCCGCAGUGAGGACUCUUGGUCAAUGGCCGGCCGGCUGAACCCGCCCCGUCGCGUUCGGGCCUAAGGCCCUCUGGGUCGUAAACCUCUUUUGUCAGGGCGCCCCGGCGUCCCCGUGUGGACGAGAGGCGCGUACCUGAAGCCCCCGCAUCGGCUACCUCCGUGCCAGCCGCCGCGGUAAUACGGCGGCUGCGAGCGUGCGCCGGAUUUAUUGGGGUUAAAGGGGGCGCAGGCGGAGGGGCAAGUCAGCGGGCAAAUGGCGGGGCUCAACCCCGUACUGCCGUUGAAACUGCAUCCCUUGAGGGCGCGAGAAGUAGGCGGAAUGCGUGGGGGAGCGGUGAAAGGCAGAGAUAUCACGCAGAACUCCGAUUGAGAAGGCAGCAUACCGGCGCGCAACUGACGCGCAUGCACGAAAGCGGGGGUAUCGAACAGGAUUAGAUACCCUUGUA